rnacentral:rRNA from 1 species
GAGUUUGAUCCUGGCUCAGAACGAACGCUGGCGGCGUGCCUAACACAUGCAAGUCGAACGGUAACAGGGAGAGCUUGCUCUUCGCUGACGAGUGGCGCACGGGUGAGUAACGCGUGGAUAUCUGCCUAUUAGUGGGGGACAACUUCGGGAAACCGAAGCUAAUACCGCAUAAUCUCUACGGAGGAAAGCAUGGGACCUUCGGGCCUUUCGCUGAUAGAUGAGUCCGCGUCUGAUUAGCUAGUUGGUGGGGUAAAAGCCUACCAAGGCGAUGAUCAGUAACUGGUUUGAGAGGAUGAUCAGUCACACUGGAACUGAGACACGGUCCAGACUCCUACGGGAGGCAGCAGUGGGGAAUAUUGCACAAUGGGGGAAACCCUGAUGCAGCGACGCCGCGUGCGGGAAGAAGGCCUUCGGGUUGUAAACCGCUUUCAAUUGGGAAGAAGAGAUGAGGGUUAAUACCUCUCUGAUUUGACGGUACCUUUAGAAGAAGCACCGGCUAAUUUCGUGCCAGCAGCCGCGGUAAUACGAAAGGUGCAAGCGUUGUUCGGAUUUACUGGGCGUAAAGAGAGUGUAGGUUGUUUAUUAAGUCGGAUGUGAAAUCCCGGGGCUCAACCCCGGAACUGCAUUCGAUACUGAUAGGCUAGAGUUCGGGAGGGGUAAGCGGAAUUCCGUGUGUAGCAGUGAAAUGCGUAGAUAUACGGAGGAACACCUGAGGCGAAGGCGGCUUACUGUACCGAUACUGACACUGAGACUCGAAAGCGUGGGUAGCAAACAGGAUUAGAUACCCUGGUAGUCCACGCCCUAAACGAUGUCAACUAGCCGUAGCGGGUAUCGACCCCUGCUGUGGCGAAGCUAACGCGAUGAGUUGACCGCCUGGGGAGUACGGUCGCAAGAUUAAAACUCAAAGGAAUUGACGG